rnacentral:rRNA from 1 species
AACGUAGGUUCCGAGCGUUAUCCGGAUUUACUGGGCGUAAAGCGCGUUCAGGCGGUUCGGCAAGUCGGGCAUGAAAUCUCUCGGCUCAACCGGGAGAGGUUGUCCGAUACUGCUGGACUUGAGGGCAGUAGAGGGUGGUGGAAUUCCGGGUGUAGUGGUGAAAUGCGUAGAUAUCCGGAGGAACACCAGUGGCGAAAGCGGCCACCUGGACUGCACCUGACGCUGACACGCGAAAGCUAGGGGAGCGAAC